GUUAAAAAGCUCGUAGUUGGAUUUCUGUUGAGGACACCGGUCCGCACUAUGUGCGUGUAUCUGGUUCGGCCUGGCUCCUCCUGGGGAACGUGCUGCGCUUGAUUGCGCGGUCCGGUAUUCAGGACUUUUACUUUGAGGAAAUUAGAGUGUUUACGGCAGGCAAUCGCCUUGAAUACAUUAACAUGGAAUAAUACUAUAGGACUUUCGUUCUAUUUUGUUGGUUUCUAGAAUGAAAGUAAUGAUUAAUAGGGAUAAUUGGGGGCAUUCGUAUUGACACGUCAGAGGUGAAAUUCCUUGGAUUGUGUUACGACGAACUACUG
rnacentral:rRNA from 1 species